GCUGAACCACUGGGCCACACCAGCCGGGCCACACUUUGUAUUAUUUUGUUUAAUCUUCUAAAUGAGCUAGGUAACAAGUACUCUCUGUUUGGGGGGAACUGUUACUCUUCUCAUUUCCUGCACAGGUCUGAAUAUGUGCUGUUUGGACAGCUCAGUGGGUUCUGGUUUCACCUCCUUGGCUUCAGGAAGGGAAUCCUCCACGUAUUGAGCUUUGCAAGGGGCGGCUUGUGAUCACUUCCUAGAUGAUAGCCUGGGGCUCAGAGAGGCUAAGUGACUUGUCCAAGGUAACACAGCAAUGAGAGGGCGUUGCUGGCAUUGAAGCAGGUCUCUCUGAAGCCAAGGCUUUCCCUGCCCUCUCAGGUGGGGAAGGUGUCCAGUUUCUGACCCCAGACAUUGCUUCAGGGAAUUCUGCCCCCAGUUUCAGAGCUCAGCAACCUCUGGAAGUGUGUCCAGCCAGUUCCCCACAGAGCUGGCUGAGAUCCAGCUGCAUCCUGGAGACCACAGGCCUCAGACUCCCACUUAAGUCUCCUGCUGCCCACGCUCCUGCCUUGAUCUGCAGUUGAAUAAAGGCUGGGCCCCAGGCAGCCAGGUUUGGUGGGCUUGGCUCCUCUCCUCUUGUGUUCUCUCCCCAGUGGCCUCCCAGAAGCCCUAUGGCCAUGACACAGCUGCUUCUGCUCAUUGUGUCUCUCCUGGUCCUGGGUCAUGUGCCUCCAGGGAGAAGCGAAUUCAAACGGUGCUGGAACGGCCAAGGAGCCUGCCGGACUUACUGCACCAAGUAUGAAACCUUCAUGCACCUGUGCCCAGAUGCCUCCCUGUGCUGUAUCCCCUAUGGACUCAAGCCUCCAGUGCCCCAUAAGCCAGAGAAUGUAUAGCCGGUUCUGGGGCCGGCACACUUGCUCUUCAUAAAACACAUGCUGCCCGUCG